UCUCUCUCUCUCCAGAUCUACUUCCUUUGCUCCUGGCUCCUCCCUGUUGGGCAGCUGCCAAACUGCGUUGCUAUCUGUUUCCUUGAAAUGUGCAGCUCUGUGCGCUGACAGCUCAGCUGUUGUGGAAGGCAGCUGGUGACACAGAGGCCGUGAAAACAUGGGUUCUUCCGGAAGCCAACCUGCCCAGGUCGGAAGAGGAGAAAAAGUGCCUUCAGGCAGGGCCAGGAGCAGGGAACAAGUUUGGAGCCCUCUGAGGUAUGGAUUUGAGUCAAUGCAAACAGCUGCAUGAUUGAGUCACACCCAGCCAGAGGUUUUUCACAAGCAAGAGAGGUGGCAUUAAGGUCUCACUAAGAGUAAGACAGUCGAGAACCCAGGUAGGUGAGGUGACUUGUCCAGCAUCUCAACCACUGGCACAGGGGGCUGGCCCGGGGGCCAAUCCUGUGGGGCCAGGGAGAACCUCCAUCUCUUUGCAAGAAGGGAGCCAAGUGGGCCCCAUUGUUUUGUGCUAAGCUCCCUCAAUGGACUUCACACCUCCAAAUUCCACAGCAGCAUUGGUCAUCCCAGCUUAAAACAAUAUAAAGUGCAGUAUAUUGUCUUAUAGCUCACCCGGUCAGAGGCCUAGAGUCAAUGUGUUGAAAGGCUGAGUUGAGCUCAGCAGUAGAACAAGUGCAUAGAAGACUCUGGAUUUGACACCCUGCACCACAAAGAAAAGAAUUAAAAGGCACCAUAGGUUCAUUUCCAUCCUGAAGUUUCAGGGAGAGUCCUCUGUUUCCUUUGCAGCUUCUUAAGGGGCCUGUAUGCAUGGGCUCAGUCUCCUCCCUCUGUCUCCAAAGCCAGCAGCUUUUGGGGGCUGGGAGUGCAGCUCAGAGUAAAACGCAUGCUGCCUGUUCCAUCUCGAACACCACAGAAGUACAAAUUAAAAGAUAGAAAGUCAGCAUCUUCUUGCUUCUGUUGUCACAUCC
rnacentral:lncRNA from 1 species